AAAUUCAUUGAGUUUUUUCAUAAGAACGUUUUUAAUGAGGUUUUCUUCGUACCGUAAGAAUUUUAUAAUGUGUUGGGCUAAGUGUGCAAUUAUUAUUAUGAUAUCUAUUGUAAUUGUCUAUGGUAUUUCAUUAUGGAAUGAAAUUUCUUUUUUAAAAAAAAAAUUAUUUCAAGUUCAUGAUAAAUAUAUUACAUAGAAUUAUUUUGUCACAUUUUAGAUACUAAAAUAGCUAAGUUCUAGAAUUUGAAGUUCGAAUUUAGAUAGCUUUAUUUGCUUUUCUUAACUUAGAUUCUGUUGAGUCAAUUUAAUUCAAUAUUUUUAGUUUAAUUUUAUGUUAAUAUUUCUUAAGUUUAGCUAUUACUGAUUUAGUCUCUUGUUUUUUAUGGUUCUCAAAUAAAAAGGCCUUAAUUUGUGAUGAAACAUACAAGUAUGGCUAAGUGCAUCUCUCAUACAUGAAGCAGUAUUUUGAGCAUAACCUGCACUACAGAAGCCCAAUUGAUGUAAUUCUUGAGUCCUUGGAAAGCUAAGAGAAAAAGAUACAACUUUCUUGUUUACCACAUUGCCCAGUUCACUUCAGAUCAAAGAGAAAACCGCGUCACAAGAGGAGGGACUAUAGUAGAAUCUGCACAAGGCAGCACAUGGGAGCCAAGGCCGCAGCGCCAAGAUUCAGUAGGGCAGUAUACAUGGACCAGAGAGGAGAGUGCCACAGCCAUGGUGAAGGAAGGCCACUACACCUAGGAGAAGAAAAGGAUGCAUACUUCCACUCGUGAGCAAGGCGCCGCGAUGCCCAAGGAGCAAAGCUGCUGUGCUGUGCCUUCCACCUAAAAAUCUACUUCUAUGAAGUUUUUAAAAAUAGGGUUAUUGGGAGGUAUUUAAAAUGUCUUUCUCAGAGGAUUCAAAGAAGGAAUAAAGAGCAGCUUUUCUGGAUAAAAAAGAACAAACAACAAAAUAAGAAAGCAAGGGAAAACAAUGAAUAUUGGACAUUUAAAAGCUGCAAACCUUAGUUUCUCUCUUUACUUUUGUUCUUCUCUUACUUUCUUUGACUUGUGUUGAUGGUUGAUUGUCUUUGGAUGAUGUUUUUAGUAGAUAUUAUGAGCUAAUUUACUUUUGCAAGGAUUAAGAUUGAACUCAAUAUGUAAUUUGAA
rnacentral:lncRNA from 1 species